rnacentral:rRNA from 1 species
CGCGUAGGCGGGCCUUCAAGUCGGAUGUGAAAACCGGCGGCUUAACCGCCGGCCUGCAUUCGAUACUGUCGGUCUUGAGUACGGAAGAGGAAAGCGGAAUUCCAGGUGUAGCGGUGAAAUGCGUAGAUAUCUGGAAGAACACCAGUAGCGAAGGCGGCUUUCUGGUCCGAUACUGACGCUGAAGCGCGAAGGCUAGGGUAGCAAACA